rnacentral:lncRNA from 1 species
CGGCCAUGUGCGCGGCGGAGAGGCCGGGUGGCCACCGAACCUUCCCGCCUGUUCUGCGGGGCGUCUGGGCAUGGCUUUCCCAACCUAGUAACUGCAACUUUUAGCAUCCUACAUGUAGGACUUGGGAAUAUGUGAGACAGCGCCAAGAAUUUAAUCCAGGAGAAUUGACAAGCUUAAAUGAAAUCCAUAUUGCCCACUGAUUUUGUGCAGCUUCAGAGUGGCUCACACCUGUAAUCCCAGUGCUUUGGGAGGCCGAGGCAGAUGGAUCACUUGAGGCCAGGAGUUCCAGACCAGCCUGGCCAACACGGCGAAACCCCAUCUCUACUAAAAAUACAAAAAAUUAGCCAGGCCUGGUGGUGCACGCUUGUAAUCCCAGGUACUUGGGAGGCUAAGGCAGGAGGAUCACUUGAACCCAGGGGAGGCUGCAGUGAGCUGAGAUCGUGCCACUGCACUCCAGCUUGGGCAACAGAGCAAGACUCCAUCUUAAAAAGAAGAAAGAAAGAACUUCUAUUUUUUAAAUGUUUUUUCCUUUCAUUGAACUCCAUUUAUAGCCUUUCCAUUCAGAGCAUAAAGAUUAAAUUUUAAAACAAGGCUUGGCACCCUGGCUUAUGCCUGUAAUCCCAGCACUUUGUGAGGCCAAGGUGGGCGGAUCACCUGAGCUCAGAAGUUUGAGUCCAGCCUGGCUAACAUGGUGAAACCCCAUCUCUAAAAGAGUACACAGUCCUAGAGCAGUGGUGUGCGCCUGUAGUCCUAGCUACCUGGGAGGCUGAACCAGGAGAAUUGCUUGAGCCUGGGAGGCAGAGGUUGCAGUGAGCCAAGAUCGCACCAUUACACUCCAGCCUGGGUGACAGAGAGAGACCCUGUGCCCCUCAAAAAAAUGUUUUUUUUAAACAAGAAUCUCUCAGGCAUACUGAAAUGUUGAAGAGGAAAUUAUAUUAAUAUCUGGGACUUGUUUCCAAAUUUGGAAUUGGGGCAGGGUGUAAAUUGUUGGCAAUAUCAAAGAAACGAGGAGUUGGAAUGAUAAUUGUAGAAGCUGCAUGAUAGAUACACAUUCUUUAUACUUCUGUAUAUGUUGAAAUUUUUUAUCAAAUUAUAAUUGUGUAUAAUGACUAAUUAUGCUUUCAUUGUCUAUUCUGUGUGGUUAUGUUACUUGCUGAAAUUAAUACAUAAAGAGUCUUCAACUUAAAUGACUUAUCAAGCAUAAAUAUUAAAAUACUGGAUGUUACU